rnacentral:sRNA from 1 species
GGCUCCCUUACCGUCAGCAAUGCCUACAGGCUCCGAUCUCAGCAGCGGCUGCAGCCCUGCCCCCCUAGCUCAGCACUCCGUGCAGACACCAGUCUUCCCCGUGUUAGCAUUUCCCUCAGGCUCUCACUCCAACCUUAGCGUUCCCAGUAGACCCGACCUCCCAACCGCGACACUUCCUGAAUUUCUCACCCCAGCCUCAGCAGCACUUGGACAACCUCACCCCGACCCCCAGCCUCGUUUCUUGCUGCAGACCUCCAACCUCAAUAUUUCUGCAGCCCCUCAGUCCUCUCCCAGACCCCUCCUCACUAUUUCCAGACCCUUCCGGAGCACCGCCUUCAUUUUAGACAUCCUUGCCCUGGCAACCGCACUCGCCCCUCCUGCCGAGCCCCUGGAGCCUCCGCACCUACGGAACUGUGUUCAAGGCCAAAAACCGGGAGACUCAUGAGAUCGUGGCUCUGAAACGGGUGAGGCUGGAUGACGAUGAUGAGGGUGUGCCGAGUUCCGCCCUCCGGGAGAUCUGCCUACUCAAGGAGCUGAAGCACAAGAACAUCGUCAGGCUUCAUGACGUCCUGCACAGCGACAAGAAGCUGACUUUGGUUUUUGAAUUCUGUGACCAGGACCUGAAGAAGUAUUUUGACAGUUGCAAUGGUGACCUCGAUCCUGAGAUUGUAAAGUCAUUCCUCUUCCAGCUACUAAAAGGGCUGGGAUUCUGUCAUAGCCGCAAUGUGCUACACAGGGACCUGAAGCCCCAGAACCUGCUAAUAAACAGGAAUGGGGAGCUGAAAUUGGCUGAUUUUGGCCUGGCUCGAGCCUUUGGGAUUCCCGUCCGCUGUUACUCAGCUGAGGUGGUCACACUGUGGUACCGCCCACCGGAUGUCCUCUUUGGGGCCAAGCUGUACUCCACGUCCAUCGACAUGUGG